CCUACGGGUGGCAGCAGUGAGGAAUAUUGGUCAAUGGGCGGAAGCCUGAACCAGCCAAGUCGCGUGAGGGAUUAAGGCCCUAUGGGUCGUAAACCUCUUUUGUCAGGGAGCAAUGGCGUCCACGUGUGGGCGUAUGGAGAGUACCUGAAGAAAAAGCAUCGGCUAACUCCGUGCCAGCAGCCGCGGUAAUACGGAGGAUGCGAGCGUUAUCCGGAUUUAUUGGGUUUAAAGGGAGCGUAGGCCGCAUGUCAAGCGUGCUGUGAAAUGUCCGGGCUCAACCCGGGCCUUGCAGCGCGAACUGGCGUGCUUGAGUCCGCGGAAAGCAGGCGGAAUUCGUCGUGUAGCGGUGAAAUGCUUAGAUAUGACGAAGAACCCCGAUUGCGAAGGCAGCUUGCUGCAGCGGAACUGACGCUGAUGCUCGAAAGCGCGGGUAUCGAACAGGAUUAGAUACCCGUGUAGUC
rnacentral:rRNA from 1 species